rnacentral:misc_RNA from 1 species
GUUACGAUUGGUAAUUGUGUUUGUUUUUUUUGACGCGGAUUGCUAACAUAACGAGUUGAAAGGUCCUACUGGCAGGCAGGCCUGCCGAGGAAACAAAAGGGUACGCAAAAAACAGGGUGGAAGAGAACCGGUCAGACCGGCCUACAAUACGUAAUGAUCCUUCCGCAGGUUCACCUACGGAAA